rnacentral:rRNA from 1 species
CCUACGUGAGGCAGCAGUGAGGAAUAUUGGUCAAUGGGCGAGAGCCUGAACCAGCCAAGUCGCGUGAGGGAGUACUGCCCUAUGGGUUGUAAACCUCUUUUGUCGGGGAGCAAAAGCCGGACGUGUUCGGUUGUGAUAGUACCCUAAGAAAAAGCAUCGGCAAACUCCGUGCCAGCAGCCGCGGUAAUACGGAGGAUGCGGGCGUUAUCCGGAUUUAUUGGGUUUAAGGGGUGCGCGGGCGGAUUUUUAAGUCAGCGGUAAAAUCGUGGGGUUCAACCCCAUCCAGCCGUUGAAACUGGGGAUCUAGAGUGUGCGAGAGGUAUGCGGAAUGCGUGGUGUAGCGGUGAAAUGCAUAGAUAUCACGCAGAACCCCGAUUGCGAAGGCAGCAUACCGGUGCACAACUGACGCUCAGGCACGAAAGCGUGGGUAUCGAACAGGAUUAGAUACCCGGGUAGUC